GGAGGGGUACCGAAGUCUGGCCGUAACGGGGUCGACUCGAAAUCGACUUGGCGGUUAACAGCCGUCACGUGGGUUCGAAUCCCACCCCCUCCGCCA
rnacentral:tRNA from 1 species